rnacentral:rRNA from 1 species
AUUGAACGCUGGCGGCAGGCCUAACACAUGCAAGUCGAACGGUAACAGGAAGAAUCUUGCUUCUUUGCUGACGAGUGGCGGACGGGUGAGUCAUGUCUGGGAAACUGCCUGAUGGAGGGGGAUAACUACUGGAAACGGUAGCUAAUACCGCAUAACGUCGCAAGACCAAAGAGGGGGACCUUCGGGCCUCUUGCCAUCGGAUGUGCCCAGAUGGGAUUAGCUAGUAGGUGGGGUAACGGCUCACCUAGGCGACGAUCCCUAGCUGGUCUGAGAGGAUGACCAGCCACACUGGAACUGAGACACGGUCCAGACUCCUACGGGAGGCAGCAGUGGGGAAUAUUGCACAAUGGGCGCAAGCCUGAUGCAGCCAUGCCGCGUGUAUGAAGAAGGCCUUCGGGUUGUAAAGUACUUUCAGCGGGGAGGAAGGGAGUAAAGUUAAUACCUUUGCUCAUUGACGUUACCCGCAGAAGAAGCACCGGCUAACUCCGUG